UGAAAAUGACAAAAGGAAAGAAAAAGAAAAAAGAGGAAAAGAAAGGGGAAAAAAAGGAAAGAAACAGAAAAGGAAGAGGAAGGGGAGAGGAAUGUUCCAGCACAAUGAGGAUUACAGAGAAGCAUCAUUCUUCCGUGCCAUAGUAUUUGAGAAACUUCUUGAUCCUUGUGGCCUGAGUCUCUGGAGAGGGAAGGGAGAUCCCCCGGAGCACAGACAAGCCCUUGGGAAGAGGAGCCACCAGGAGAGGAGCAGGUCACAGGGGCACCUCGGUGGGGAGAUGUUUCCCCGGCGAUCCAUGGAGGGAUUUGCUGAGCUAAGGAGCCACAGAAAGCUGCUGGGCACUGAGCAGGGCUGGAGAAAAGCACCUGACCUGCAGAACCCAGGAGGAGGAUGCUUGGUCACAACAUGGGAUUCUCUGGUGACAAGAGAAGAAGCAAACAGGAUCCCCAGGCUCUGGUGACACUACUGCAGCUAUUGAUUGCCUCCAGUUAUCACCAAGCUGCACUGAUCAGAAACAGGGUGUGCAAAAAUGUUCUCUGUGCUGAGCUGGCCAGAGAGGGAACGGGUACAAACCUCCCUGUAAAGAAUACAGUGAUUUAUUUGGUGAAGUAUUGGCUUCUUCUGCUGACACCAAACGCCUCAGGGACCGCAAGCACGGGGAGAAAACAUUAAUCAUCAGGACAAGGAGGUGCAGGCGUUUGCAGCUCUUGUGUACACAAAGCCAGAAGUCUUUGGCCUGGUACUGAUUGGAGAAAAUGCUCAGUUGUAGUUCUUGGCCUCCUGUCUUUUGCUUCAACUGACAUUCAUGACAAAAUCUAAAAGAAAAAAAAAAAAAAAAAAAAGGUCAAGUUUGGCCACUGUUUCGGGAAGUUCUGUGCCAUGAAGUUUCAGCUCAUUCAUAUAGUUAAUAUAAAUGAGAUGCUGAGAUACAAAUCCAUCAGGAAAAAGUCAUUAAGUUGUUCUGCCCUGCUGAUGGCCAUUUCACAUAUUUUGAUCUCUCCAACUUGCUUCAGUUCCUCAGAGCAUAAGCCAGAGGCUUGUCUGUCUUUCCUCUGGGGCUCCUUAACUGCAUAAGAUGGAUCGACAGCACCAAAUGUGAUCAUAGAAUCAUCAAGGUAGGAAGAGACCUCCAAGAUUAUCAAGUGCAGCCUUUGAACAAACACCACCGUGCUCACUAUAUAAUGUAGAGAGAAGAGGCUCUCUGUAGGGUGUCAGUCACAGAUAAUGCAAAGAUUUACAUGUAAGCAGAAACACUGCCACCGGAGACUCAAUCCCAGCCCCUCAAAGGAAGUCACUGUGAAGUACUGAUGGGGAAGUGACAAAAAGAUGAGAAGCUUUGGGAGUGAAAUGUAUGGUUAAUGUAAACAUGCUUGUUAUUUAACCCUCCUCGUGGUAAACACCAUUAAGUAAAUAUACAAGAGUUAUCUGUUGCAGGUAAGCCAAGCCUACUGUUCCUAGAGUGUUCUGUAGAGGAGGAACACAUGAAUGUUUCUAUUUUACAGAUGGGAAUGGGCACCUGGUGAGAUGUAGUUGUGCAUCAAGCUGUGCAGCAGACAACCUCAGCACAAGGAAUUAGAGUUCAUGCUUCUUAAGGCAAAUUCGACUUUCGAUCCACAAGGUAUUUUAUUCUCCAUUAAAGUACAUUUCUUUGUAAAGCAGACAUUAUAGAGAAAAAUCUGUAUUAGGUCAGAAUACUGAACUGAGGGAAAACACUGUUUGGGGUGAUAUUGCUUCUUCUGUCACUUAAUAUGCUGGAACUGCAAUAAGCUUGUGAGGCACGGCAAUUUCUUGGUACAUAUAAAUGCUAAUGGCUUUCAUUAAACACUGGCUCUGAGAGACAGAGCCACAGCCCACUGAAAUGUGUAGAAAGGAAACCCUUGAUUUUCACGAGCUUCUGAGAGGGUCUGGUCGGGCACAAUCUCCUUUCUUUGACUGGUGCACAGAGAGAGCUGAGCUAAGGGGAGCCACCAACAUUGAAAAGUCGCAUCAGGAAAAGCAUCAUAAGGAUCCAGGCAGAGCAUCAUAAGGAUCCAGGAAGAGCAGCAGCAUCUGCUACAACUAUGAACCUUGUAUCACCUGUGGAACUCGCUAUUUGCCUGUAAAGAAAAAUUAUUCUACAGCAGAGAAACAGCAAAGAGCUGGUGUGGCUUAUGAGAAACCAACCCCAAGUUCAUGUGUCUGAUGGGAUGAACUUUGCCUUAGGGGUUUGAAAAUGCCCCGCUGCCGCUGCUGCUGUGGCUCAGCCGUGUAACCCGUGUCCUGCUCUGCCGGGUUAUUGUGCCGAGAGGCAGAUGAAUCCAUACGAGGCCAUUCUGCAAAAGGCUCCUUGCCUCCGCACAGAGCAAAACUCCGUCCUCAGCAGUUCACUAUUCAUAGCUCCUGCCCUCCUCGGGAGGAGUCGAGGGCGCAGGAAGAGCAGCGGCUGGCUCAGGUUAUCCUGGCACAGUCCAUCAGGGCAGCGCUCCUCAGUGGGGUUUGACAGACCGCUUUCUGUUUCACAGGAAACAGGGAUUUCCCCCCUCCUUUUGAGGGUUAACAGGUGGUUAUGCAUCAAAAGUACCCUAAGUCUGCUUACUGCUGAAUGCCUUCAAAACAAGCCAAGCUGACAUCCUGGCUGUAGCAAUGUGGUGACACUGUAAAAGGCUGUAGGUAUUUAUGAACAAAAGAAAAAAGGGAGGCGGUUGCUGCACGGCAGACAGGUGACAAUUAACUGGUUUUAACACCGGCUUGAUGUGCUGGGGGAAGGCUAGAAGGCAUUUACCGUGCUAUUCCUACCAUGCUAAACACUAAUUAAAGACUGGCAUCUCGUAUGGUUCUCUCAUCCUACAGCACUUCGGUGUUUUCAGUUUUUCAAUAACAAUUUAACACCCUCAUGCCAAGCUGCGGAAAAUUAUCUUGCACUGCAGCAUCUGCUCCCAAGCUCGCUCUGUGUUUGUGGUAUUAAAGCUGUGCCUUUGUACUCUGCUUUGUUAGGCAGCUGAAGGACUGUAGAGUCUCUCCUUUCCUCACUAGUUUUCAAACGAGAGUGUUCAAUGCGUGUUUGCAUUAUUUUAAUGAAAAUCCCCAGGGUUUCAUUAAACCCCUCACUUGGCCUCCUACAGGGAACACCAUCCUUUGCUGCGUGGAGGAGAAUGAAAGCAUGCCCUCAUUCUGAGAGGGAGAAACUUCAGGAAAAGAAGAGCAGUGAUGUCCUUUUGCUUGUGGUUCCAGUUUAUUGUGUAUGAUAUUCACACUGACGUGUGAACAUUUUGCUGAGGGUGCUUUUCAGUUUCAAAGAGCUUUGAAAACAGGGCUAUAUGCUCCUCCUUAAAUCGGUUUUGAGCCUGGAAUAUCAUUUUCCCAAAGUAACUAAUAUUGUUAGGCAUCCAUCUGUUAGUGCCUUGAAAGAACAUAUUUUUCCAAGACUAAAAAGUUGGACUACACUGGGUUGACGGAGUUCCUAAUCAGCUGUUUUUUUCUGAGAGCAAACAAACCAGAGGAGGCUGCACAUGUGGCUCCUGACAAGCAAAACACACAGGAGUGCUGUCAGAACAUCUAUUUAUCCUUGGAUAAGGAGUCUCACACAGACAAAAUGCUGAGCUGUGCCUUUCAGGUGAGAUUAAAGACCUUUUGUGUCCCCAGGGUGCACUCCAGGCCACAUUAGCUGUCACAGGCUCUCUUUAAUAAUUCAUUGUUUCUUCUGAUCAUAGAGGUCUUCUAAUCAGAGAGACCUCUUUUUGAAAGAAAGCCUACCUUGACAUAUUUUGCUGUUAAUUUCUGUAAAUUUUACUAUUUAUGACCUCCUAAAAGAAAACUGUUAUGUGUUAGGGAGAUGUUUAAUUGGGAAUGAAUUACCUUUACUGUGCUAACCAAGAAGUGCCCUAGCCAAGAGCAAU